rnacentral:pre_miRNA from 1 species
GUAGUAUUCCCUCCGUCCCAAAAUUCUUGUCUUACAUUUGUUUAGAUAUAGAUGUAUCUAACACUAAAAUGUAACUAGAUACAUCCGUAUUUAGACAAAUUUAAGACAAGAAUUUUGGGACGGAGGGAGUACAAA